rnacentral:tRNA from 1 species
GUUUCCGUAGUGUAGUGGUCAUCACGUUUGCCUCACACGCAAAAGGUCCCCAGUUCAAAAAUGGGCGGAAACA